rnacentral:rRNA from 1 species
GAUGAACGCUGGCGGCGUGCCUAAUACAUGCAAGUCGAGCGAACAGACGAGGAGCUUGCUCCUCUGACGUUAGCGGCGGACGGGUGAGUAACACGUGGAUAACCUACCUAUAAGACUGGGAUAACUUCGGGAAACCGGAGCUAAUACCGGAUAAUAUAUUGAACCGCAUGGUUCAAUAGUGAAAGACGGUUUUGCUGUCACUUAUAGAUGGAUCCGCGCCGCAUUAGCUAGUUGGUAAGGUAACGGCUUACCAAGGCAACGAUGCGUAGCCGACCUGAGAGGGUGAUCGGCCACACUGGAACUGAGACACGGUCCAGACUCCUACGGGAGGCAGCAGUAGGGACUCUUCCGCAAUGGGCGAAAGCCUGACGGAGCAACGCCGCGUGAGUGAUGAAGGUCUUCGGAUCGUAAAACUCUGUUAUUCGGGAAGAACAAAUGUGUAAGUAACUAUGCACGUCUUGACGGUACCUAAUCAGAAAGCCACGGCUAACUACGUG